rnacentral:rRNA from 1 species
UACAGAGGUCUCAAGCGUUGUUCGGAUUCAUUGGGCGUAAAGGGUGUGUAGGUGGCGCCGUUAAGUCGGGUGUGAAAAUUUCGGAGGCUUAACUCCGAAACUGCAUUCGAUACUGCGGUGCUUGAGGACUGGAGGAGGAGAGUGGAAUUCCUGGUGUAGCGGUAGAAAUGCGCAGAUAUCAGGAGGAACACCCGUGGCGAAAGCGGCUCUCUGGGACGGUACUGACGCUGAGACGCGAAAGCGUGGGGAGCAAACAGG